UACGGGGGGGGCAAGCGUUGUUCGGAAUUACUGGGCGUAAAGGGUUCGUAGGUGGUCUGCUAAGUCAUACGUGAAAUCCCUCAGCUUAACUGGGGAACUGCGUCUGAUACUGGCGGACUUGAGGACAGGAGAGGAACGCGGAAUUCCAGGUGUAGCGGUGAAAUGCGUAGAUAUCAGGAAGAACACCCGUGGCGAAGGCGGCUCUCUGGGACGGUACUGACGCUGAGACGCGAAAGCGUGGGGAGCGAACAGG
rnacentral:rRNA from 1 species